rnacentral:rRNA from 1 species
AAAAGCCUCUAAGCAUCAGGUAACAUCAAAUCGUACCCCAAACCGACACAGGUGGUCAGGUAGAGAAUACCAAGGCGCUUGAGAGAACUCGGGUGAAGGAACUAGGCAAAAUGGUGCCGUAACUUCGGGAGAAGGCACGCUGAUAUGUAGGUGAAGUCCCUCGCGGAUGGAGCUGAAAUCAGUCGAAGAUACCAGCUGGCUGCAACUGUUUAUUAAAAACACAGCACUGUGCAAACACGAAAGUGGACGUAUACGGUGUGACGCCUGCCCGGUGCCGGAAGGUUAAUUGAUGGGGUCAGCGCAAGCGAAGCUCUUGAUCGAAGCCCCGGUAAACGGCGGCCGUAACUAUAACGGUCCUAAGGUAGCGAAAUUCCUUGUCGGGUAAGUUCCGACCUGCACGAAUGGCGUAAUGAUGGCCAGGCUGUCUCCACCCGAGACUCAGUGAAAUUGAACUCGCUGUGAAGAUGCAGUGUACCCGCGGCAAGACGGAAAGACCCCGUGAACCUUUACUAUAGCUUGACACUGAACAUUGAGCCUUGAUGUGUAGGAUAGGUGGGAGGCUUAGAAGUGUGGACGCCAGUCUGCAUGGAGCCGACCUUGAAAUACCACCCUUUAAUGUUUGAUGUUCUAACGUUGACCCGUAAUCCGGGUUGCGGACAGUGUCUGGUGGGUAGUUUGACUGGGGCGGUCUCCUCCUAAAGAGUAACGGAGGAGCACGAAGGUUGGCUAAUCCUGGUCGGACAUCAGGAGGUUAGUGCAAUGGCAUAAGCCAGCUUGACUGCGAGCGUGACGGCGCGAGCAGGUGCGAAAGCAGGUCAUAGUGAUCCGGUGGUUCUGAAUGGAAGGGCCAUCGCUCAACGGAUAAAAGGUACUCCGGGGAUAACAGGCUGAUACCGCCCAAGAGUUCAUAUCGACGGCGGUGUUUGGCACCUCGAUGUCGGCUCAUCACAUCCUGGGGCUGAAGUAGGUCCCAAGGGUAUGGCUGUUCGCCAUUUAAAGUGGUACGCGAGCUGGGUUUAGAACGUCGUGAGACAGUUCGGUCCCUAUCUGCCGUGGGCGCUGGAGAACUGAGGGGGGCUGCUCCUAGUACGAGAGGACCGGAGUGGACGCAUCACUGGUGUUCGGGUUGUCAUGCCAAUGGCACUGCCCGGUAGCUAAAUGCGGAAGAGAUAAGUGCUGAAAGCAUCUAAGCACGAAACUUGCCCCGAGAUGAGUUCUCCCUGACCCUUUAAGGGUCCUGAAGGAACGUUGAAGACGACGACGUUGAUAGGCCGGGUGUGUAAGCGCA